rnacentral:rRNA from 1 species
GAUGAACGCUGGCGGCGUGCCUAAUACAUGCAAGUCGAGCGAACGGACGAGACGCUUGCUUCUCUGAUGUUAGCGGCGGACGGGUGGGUAACACGUGGAUAACCUACCUAUAAGACUGGGAUAACUUCGGGAAACCGGAGCUAAUACCGGAUGAUAUUUUGAACCGCAUGGGUCAAAAGUGAAAGACGGUCUUGCUGUCACUUAUAGAUGGAUCCGGGCUGCAUUAGCUGGUUGGUAAGUUAACGGCUUACCAAGGCAACGAUGCAUAGACGACCUGAGAGAGGGGUAGCCCGCCUGGGAAGGUGACCGGCGACAAUGCGACUACGAGACGGCGCAGUAGCGUAUGUGAGGCAGCGGGCGAAAGCAUGACGGAGUAAGGGGGCGUCAGUGGCGGCGGUGUCGGGAGCGUAAAACUCUGCUACUAGUGAAGAACCUAUGUGUCCGUAACUGUGCACAGCGUGACGGUAACUAAUCAGAAAGCAACGGCUAACUACGUG